GUUAAGCAUAAGUACUUCUUUACUAUCCCAUACUGAACUCAAUUGUAUGGAAUGUAAAGAAGUAUGUAUGGUUAGC
rnacentral:pre_miRNA from 1 species